UGACAUCAUCAGCACGCGUCAGUGUUCUCAGCAGCUGGUGAAGCAUGCCGGUGUUUUCUGUUUUGGAGCCUGGAGAGUGCGACCCGGGGGAUCCCUGUGAUCCUCAUGAAAACUGGCCUCUUCGCCCCCAUCCAGCCAGUAUGUGAUGCGAUAAUUCCUGUAUAGCUUCCCAUCGAUGUACAGUUUAUCAGCAAAAAGGCGAGCCCUUUUGUUUCUUUGCCUCGCCUCUGCCAUGAUCGGAUAAAGAAGCCUGCGUCUUCCAUGAUCUCAGCUGGAAACUGAUCGCUGAUGGCAUAAUUGGUUCCCUUCAGUUCCCCACCCUUGGACAUAACAGCGUACUUCAUUUUAGAGUCGAUGGUUUUGGCCACGAUGGGACGGGGCCUCUGCUGGUCAGCUUUGGCUUUACCCAGGCGAUGGACUCGGGAAAAGUGGACAGCUCUACUUCAUUAACGUCCAUUUUCAGGUUACCGGACAGGAAUGUCUUUAACAAUUCUUCAGAUUUCUGAUGAUGACAUCAGCGCCGGUGUGUAUUGGACCCCCUCUGUGAUAAGGCGGAGUUGUCCCACCAGGGCCAGAGGUGUCUUGUCUUGGAACUUCCUGAAGCUCAACGGCAAUAAACCGAGGCCCUGCUCAUCGGCUCAAAAUCCAACCUCACCAAACCACAACACACCCCUGUACCCCAUCAUCAUCGACGGAUUCCCUGUACCCUUCCCCCCCCCCAAGUCAGGAGCCUCGGCGUCAUCCUGGACAGCACCCUCUCAUUUGCACCUCACAUUCAAAAUACCACCCGGAUUGCUUUCUUCCACCUCUAAAACAUCUCCAGACUCCGCCCAUCACUGUCCCAUCCAGCACAGAAAUCCUGGUUCACUCAUUUGUCACUUCUCGCAUCGACUACUGCAAUGCCCUCCUCACCGGACUCCCUGCCAAACUCAUCAACAUAAACAACAUUGUUAAAUAAGCCGCCCGGAUCAUCACCCGCACUAAAUUGUCUGAACAUAUCACCCCUAUUCUCAACCAACUUUACUGACUCCUAGUACAUUACCGCAUCCAGGACAAAAACCUCCUCCUCACAUACAAAGCUCUCCAUCAUCUAGCCCCCUCCUAUCUGUGCGACCUCCUCCAAGAAUACAGCCCCUCCCGCAGCCUCCGCUCAAACCUCUGCUGGACACCAUCCCAAAACCACGCCUUAUUACCAUUGGUGACCAAGCCUUCAGCUGCUAGGCACCCAAAAUCAUUCCCCCCCACACUUAAGGUAGUCAGAUUCCAUCACAACAUUCAAAUCCAAACUCAAAACCCACCUGUUCUGUCACGGUUUGGUACACAAGAAACUAAGGUGACUCAAGUGCGAAGCAAAAACAGGAUAAGUGUAAGGUAUUUAUUCCUCAUUAAUAAAGUUCCAAAAAGUUCAGAAGAUCCAAAACGCAAAACACAAAGUCCAAGUAAUCCAAAAGGCAAAAACACGAAAACUCAGUCCAAUCCAAAAGGGCAAAAACACAAUCAAAGUAAAUCCAAAGUGUAAUCCAAAACUCAGAGUAUGAGAACAGUCCAGGGUCAAACAACAAGAAAUCCAAAAUGUAGGGUUCAAGAUCAAGGUCUACUCACAUGGUUUCAUUGAAGACUCAACAGAGACAGAGUGAAAGAACCAGGCUUAAAUACUGUGAGGCAAACACGGCUAAACCAAUCACAUGACUUAGGUGGAAACAACACAGAGAACAGAAAGACAGAAUUGGCGCCAUCUAGCGGUCUAUGACCCAAUAGUCCAACAUUAUGACAUGUUCAAACUGGCAUACUCACUAUGCACUACAGUGACCCUUGACCUAUGUAUUCUUUUAAUAAUGUUUGAUGCUGUUAUUUCAUGCUUUGUUGUUGUUAUUUUUACGCUUUUUACUCUAUGUAAGGUGCCCUUGGGUGACUUAAAAGGUGCAAAAAUUAAAAUCUAUAUUAUUAUU